rnacentral:misc_RNA from 1 species
AUCCGUGAGAAUCUAAUCAACCAUACUUCUCACGUUAGCUGAUUCCUUGGUAUAUUGCGGAAUGCUGUUCGCCAUUACCGUACUUUAGUUUUUACAUAGACGAAUUCAGUGUUAGAUUCUUUAUUAUCCGUAAUAUAAGAUUAUGAUAACGUAUUGUUUGUUAUAAUAAGUCCAAUAAAGUGAAUAGAAAAUGAACGAAUCGAACGAAAUUGAUUGGAGGAACUUUACCCUAUUCGAACAACAGAGUAUAGAGGAACUAGAAAAUGAACCAGAUUUAGAAAAACAAUUAAUCGAAAUGAAGGAAACCAGUGGAAAUAAAUUAUGGAUAAUGUUUCAAACUACAGCCACAGCAAUUACACAACUAUAUAAAGAUCGCCAGUCUGGAGUGUCAUUAUGGGUGCCUUUUCAAAAUGCUGCUGGAAAUGUUACAGCAUUGUAUAAAGAAUGUGGAGAUGCUCAAAAGAAUUUAACAGAAAUUGGUUUUCGUUGUGGAUAUCAACGGAGAAAUAAAGAACUUUUAGCAUGGUUGAAGAAACGUAAAAAACACUUGAAAAGAGAAGAUUUAAUUGGAUUUCUUACUGGAAAAGUCCCACCCCAUCGAUCUAAACCAAUAAGAAAUUCUUACCCGUAUUAUUCUCACAUUGCCUUACCAAAUCAAGAAACAGAACCUAAUAGCAUUGAUGAAACUAAUCAAGAAUUUAUAGAAGCAUUACCAAGUGGUGUUAAAAUUUGUUUAAAUAUUAUCAUAAAUUAUUCACAGAUGAAAACAAUAUAAAAAUAGAAGUUAUGGCUUUAAUGUUUAUUGUUGAACUCUGGAAUAUAGUCUUGGAUAUUCUACACCUAUAAUUUUUACAAAUGAUUUUAUUUUAACUGUAAUAUUUCGAGCAUCAAACAACAAACUCCUGGACAUCGUAACCGUAAUUUAGUUAGUGAAUUAAAUAAUUAUGCAAGUAUUGCAGAUGAUUAUGCUCAAAAUGUAGAAUCGCGUAA